rnacentral:rRNA from 1 species
GAUGAACGCUGGCGGCGUGCCUAAUACAUGCAAGUCGAGCGAACGGACGAGAAGCUUGCUUCUCUGAUGUUAGCGGCGGACGGGUGAGUAACACGUGGAUAACCUACCUAUAAGACUGGGAUAACUUCGGGAAACCGGAGCUAAUACCGGAUGAUAUUUUGAACCGCAUGGUUCAAAAGUGAAAGACGGUCUUGCUGUCACUUAUAGAUGGAUCCGCGCUGCAUUAGCUAGUUUGUAAGGUAACGGCUUACCAAGGCAACGAUGCAUAGCCGACCUGAGAGGGUGAUCGGCCACACUGGGACUGAGACACGGUCCAGACUCCUACGGGAGGCAGCAGUAGGGAAUCUUCCGCAAUGGGCGAAAGCCUGACGGAGCAACGCCGCGUGAGUGAUGAAGGUCUUCGGAUCGUAAAACUCUGUUAUUAGGGAAGAACAUAUGUGUAAGUAACUGUGCACAUCUUGACGGUACCUAAUCAGAAAGCCACGGCUAACUACGUG